AGAGUUUGAUCAUGGCUCAGGAUGAACGCUGGCGGCGUGCCUAACACAUGCAAGUCGAGCGCGAUUAAGUGGAGUGGAGACUUCGGUCAAAGUGAAGUUUAUGAAAGCGGCGGACGGGUGAGUAACGCGUGGGUAACCUGCCCCAUACAAAGGGAUAGCCACUGGAAACGGUGAUUAAUACCUUAUAAGUCGGUAGUCUCGCAUGAGACAGCCGACAAAGAUUUAUCGGUAUGGGAUGGACCCGCGUCUGAUUAGCUAGUUGGUGAGGUAACGGCUCACCAAGGCGACGAUCAGUAGCCGACCUGAGAGGGUGAUCGGCCACACUGGAACUGAGACACGGUCCAGACUCCUACGGGAGGCAGCAGUGGGGAAUAUUGCACAAUGGGCGCAAGCCUGAUGCAGCAACGCCGCGUGAGUGAAGAAGGCCUUCGGGUUGUAAAACUCUGUCCUAUGGGAAGAAAAAAAUGACGGUACCAUAGGAGGAAGCCCCGGCUAACUACGUGCCAGCAGCCGCGGUAAUACGUAGGGGGCAAGCGUUAUCCGGAAUCACUG
rnacentral:rRNA from 1 species